CCUACGGGAGGCAGCAGUGAGGAAUAUUGGUCAAUGGACGAGAGUCUGAACCAGCCAAGUAGCGUGAAGGAUGACUGCCCUAUGGGUUGUAAACUUCUUUUAUAUGGGAAUAAAAUGUUCCACGUGUGGGAUUUUGUAUGUACCAUAUGAAUAAGGAUCGGCUAACUCCGUGCCAGCAGCCGCGGUAAUACGGAGGAUCCGAGCGUUAUCCGGAUUUAUUGGGUUUAAAGGGAGCGUAGGUGGAUUGUUAAGUCAGUUGUGAAAGUUUGCGGCUCAACCGUAAAAUUGCAGUUGAAACUGGCAGUCUUGAGUACAGUAGAGGUGGGCGGAAUUCGUGGUGUAGCGGUGAAAUGCUUAGAUAUCACGAAGAACUCCGAUUGCGAAGGCAGUUCACUGGACUGCAACUGACACUGAGGCUCGAAAGUGUGGGUAUCAAACAGGAUUAGAUACCCCAGUAGAC
rnacentral:rRNA from 1 species